rnacentral:tRNA from 1 species
AUUUAGAUAGUUUAAUAAAAAAUUUUGAUUUGUGGAAUCAAGGAUAUUAGUUUAAUUCUAAAUA